rnacentral:tmRNA from 1 species
GGGGGUGAAUUUUGGUUUCGACGGGAUUAACGAGACUUAGAACUGCAUACCGUGUUCCCCGAAUACACGUAAAUGAAUUGGGAAAAAACAAUAAAUGGCGAAUCUAAUUACGCCCUUGC